CAGUAUGACAACACAUGAAUUAGGCACUGAGAGAGAUCAGCACAAAAAGUGAUCCAGAGCAAGAAAAGGAGAAAAAGUGUUCAAGAAAUUGGAAGCGCAGAUAGAAAGCAGAAGCUUUGAGAAUGUACAGGAACCAGACUUGGGAAAGCUAGACACUACCUGUAGGAAAAAAGCGCAUUAGUCUUCAUAAAAAAAAGUAAUUACAGUAAUUUGGACUGUACUUCAGUAUGAUGUAAAUGGGCUACUGACUUGCUCAGCAUUUGAGGCACUGCCCCUAAAACAUUGUUUGGACAUUCUUGUUCUUCAUUUUACUAUUAUGACAAUGCAGCAGCCCAUGAAGCACCACCACCAGGAUGUUCUCUCUAGGCUGCCCGUGCUUUUAUCUUGCUCUGUGAAGCUGGCUUCAUCUGGGAUGAGCAAUGGAGGGCGAUGAUAUGGUGUGGGGGAGAUGAUGCAGACUGAACUCACAGCAAAGGAAUGCAAAGGAGAGAAUGUCAGAGGAACAAACUAGAUACUAGGCACAGGAGCUGACUUCAAGGACCAGCCCCUUCGGCGGAGCACACCAAUCGGGAGACCCGGGAGCACAUGUGGAAUGCUGCUCGCCUGCACGCCGGUCACGGCCACGGGCAGCAUCUGCUCCGCGGGACACGGCUGCCAGAUGAGCUCGGGUGUCGCGGAAACACCGCGCUGGAGGUGUCCCUAGCCCAGCCCAGCCCCGGGAGGCUUUCAGAGCCCCUCAGUGCCGCUGCUCCGCUGCGCCCGCCAUGGGGACACCUGAGCCUGAGGCCAGGCGUUGUGCCUUGCCCCUUCCGACGUUAU